rnacentral:rRNA from 1 species
GAUGAACGCUGGCGGCGUGCUUAACACAUGCAAGUCGAACGAAGCAUUUGCGACAGAUUUUUUCGGAAUGAAGUUGCUUAUGACUGAGUGGCGGACGGGUGAGUAACGCGUGGGUAACCUGCCUUGUACUGGGGGAUAUCAGCUGGAAACGGCUGGUAAUACCGCAUAAGCGCACAAUGUUGCAUGACAUGGUGUGAAAAACUCCGGUGGUAUAAGAUGGACCCGCGUCUGAUUAGCUAGUUGGUGAGAUAACAGCCCACCAAGGCGACGAUCAGUAGCCGACCUGAGAGGGUGACCGGCCACAUUGGGACUGAGACACGGCCCAGACUCAUACGGGAGGAAGCAGUGGGGAAUAUUGCACAAUGGAGGAAACUCUGAUGCAGCGACGCCGCGUGAGUGAAGAAGUAAUUCGUUAUGUAAAGCUCUAUCAGCAGGGAAGAUAGUGACGGUACCUGACUAAGAAGCUCCGGCUAAAUACGUG